rnacentral:rRNA from 1 species
GCCGGUCGCCUAACCGCAACGGGGGCGCCGACCACGGUGAGAUUCGAUGACUGGGGUG